rnacentral:rRNA from 1 species
AUGAGAGCCAACUAUGUAGCAUCUAAAUCGAUAGUUCAAGCAUUGUAUACGUCAUUAGUCAGAUUCUUGGGGGAGAUUGAGCUUCAAGAAAUUGUGAACGGUCUUAUCAAUACAGAAAUGUAUAACUCCUCAAGAAUUUCGAUUGUGCUUAUAUCCAUCACCAUAGGAGUUGGGUGCAAAAUUUCCCCAACCCCUUUUCAUCAAUAUACUCCUGACAUCUACAAAAGAGUGUUGUUCGUUCGACAAUCCUACCUCUAUAUCUAUCUCUGAGGUAUUUGGUUUUUGCAAAACUCCCUAGGCAUGCAGAAGAGAAAUGUUAUCCCCACUCCAAUCAAGAUAGAGCUUUUGCCAAAAGUUUAUUGUGAUCUUUUUGUUCAAAUAACAAUUAAGUUGAAGAAGGGCCAGGAACAACAAAUCUCUUUGUAA